CCUACGGGGGGCAGCAGUGGGGAAUAUUGGACAAUGGGGGCAACCCUGAUCCAGCCAUGCCGCGUGUGUGAAGAAGGCCCUCGGGUUGUAAAGCACUUUCAGUGAGGAAGAACGCCUGGUGGUUAAUACCCAUCAGGAAAGACAUCACUCACAGAAGAAGCACCGGCUAACUCCGUGCCAGCAGCCGCGGUAAUACGGAGGGUGCGAGCGUUAAUCGGAAUUACUGGGCGUAAAGCGCGCGUAGGUGGCUUGAUAAGCCGGUUGUGAAAGCCCCGGGCUCAACCUGGGAACGGCAUCCGGAACUGUCCAGAUAGAGUGCAGGAGAGGAAGGUAGAAUUCCCGGUGUAGCGGUGAAAUGCGUAGAGAUCGGGAGGAAUACCAGUGGCGAAGGCGGCCUUCUGGACUGACACUGACACUGAGGUGCGAAAGCGUGGGUAGCAAACAGGAUUAGAUACCCGGGUAGUC
rnacentral:rRNA from 1 species